rnacentral:rRNA from 1 species
GAUAACUACUGGAAACGGUAGCUAAUACCGCAUAACGUCGCAAGACCAAAGAGGGGGACCUUCGGGCCUCUUGCCAUCAGAUGUGCCCAGAUGGGAUUAGCUAGUAGGUGGGGUAACGGCUCACCUAGGCGACGAUCCCUAGCUGGUCUGAGAGGAUGACCAGCCACACUGGAACUGAGACACGGUCCAGACUCCUACGGGAGGCAGCAGUGGGGAAUAUUGCACAAUGGGCGCAAGCCUGAUGCAGCCAUGCCGCGUGUAUGAAGAAGGCCUUCGGGUUGUCAAGUACUUUCAGCGGGGAGGAAGGGAGUAAAGUUAAUACCUUUGCUCAUUGACGUUACCCGCAGAAGAAGCACCGGCUAACUCCGUGCCAGCAGCCGCGGUAAUACGGAGGGUGCAAGCGUUAAUCGGAAUUACUGGGCGUAAAGCGCACGCAGGCGGUUUGUUAAGUCAGAUGUGAAAUCCCCGGGCUCAACCUGGGAACUGCAUCUGAUACUGGCAAGCUUGAGUCUCGUAGAGGGGGGUAGAAUUCCAGGUGUAGCGGUGAAAUGCGUAGAGAUCUGGAGGNAAUNNACCGGUGGCGAAGGCGGCCCCCUGGACGAAGACUGACGCUCAGGUGCGAAAGCGUGGGGAACAAACAGGAUUAGAUACCCUGGUAGUCCACGCCGUAAACGAUGUCAACUUGGAGGUUGUGCCCUUGAGGCGUGGCUUCCGGAGCUAACGCGUUAAGUCGACCGCCUGGGGAGUACGNGCCGCANAGGUUAAAACUCAAAUGAAUUGACGGGGGCCCGCACAAGCGGUGGAGCAUGUGGUUUAAUUCGAUGCAACGCGAAGAACCUUACCUGGUCUUGACAUCCACGGAAGUUUUCAGAGAUGAGAGUGUGCCUUCGGGAACCGUGAGACAGGUGCUGCAUGGCUGUCGUCAGCUCGUGUUGUGAAAUGUUGGGUUAAGUCCCGCAACGAGCGCAACCCUUAUCCUUUGUUGCCAGCGGUCCGGCCGGGAACUCAAAGGAGACUGCCAGUGAUAAACUGGAGGAAGGUGGGGAUGACGUCAAGUCAUCAUGGCCCUUACGACCAGGGCUACACACGUGCUACAAUGGCGCAUACAAAGAGAAGCGACCUCGCGAGAGCAAGCGGACCUCAUAAAGUGCGUCGUAGUCCGGAUUGGAGUCUGCAACUCGACUCCAUGAAGUCGGAAUCGCUAGUAAUCGUGGAUCAGAAUGCCACGGUGAAUACGUUCCCGGGCCUUGUACACACCGCCCGUCACACCAUGGGAGUGG